AGAGUUUGAUCCUGGCUCAGAACGAACGCUGGCGGCAGGCUUAACACAUGCAAGUCGAACGGGGCUCGCUACUUCGGUGGUGGGUCUAGUGGCGAACGGGUGAGUAACACGUGGGCAACCUGCCCCUGGCUCUGGGAUAACUCCAAGAAAUUGGGGCUAAUACCGGAUGUGACCGCUGGCCGCAUGGUCUGGUGGUGGAAAGGGUUUCCGGCUGGGGAUGGGCCCGCGGCCUAUCAGCUUGUUGGUGGGGUAGUGGCCUACCAAGGCGACGACGGGUAGCCGGCCUGAGAGGACGACCAGCCACACUGGGACUGAGACACGGCCCAGACUCCUACGGGAGGCAGCAGUGAGGAAUUUUCCGCAAUGGGCGAAAGCCUGACGGAGCAAUACCGCGUGAGGGAGGAAGGUUCUUGGAUUGUAGACCUCUUUUCUCAGAGAAGAAUAAUGACGGUAUCUGAGGAAUAAGCAUCGGCUAACUCCGUGCCAGCAGCCGCGGUAAUACGGAGGAUGCAAGCGUUAUCCGGAAUGAUUGGGCGUAAAGGGUCUGUAGGUGGUUGUUCAAGUCUGCUGUUAAAGCGUCUGGCUUAACCAGAUAAAGGCGGUGGAAACUGAACGACUAGAGUGCGGUAGGGGUAGAGGGAAUUCCCAGUGUAGCGGUGAAAUGCGUAGAUAUUGGGAAGAACACCUGUGGCGAAAGCGCUCUACUGGACCGCGACUGACACUGAUGGACGAAAGCUAGGGGAGCGAAUGGGAUUAGAUACCCCCGUAGUCC
rnacentral:rRNA from 1 species